rnacentral:rRNA from 1 species
UUCUUUUGAAAGGUAAAAAAAUGAACAAGGUCUCCGUUGGUGAACCAGCGGAGGGAUCAUUACCGAGUUUACAACUCCCAAACCCAAUGUGAACGUUACCAAACUGUUGCCUCGGCGGGAUCUCUGCCCCGGGUGCGUCGCAGCCCCGGACCAAGGCGCCCGCCGGAGGACCAACCAAAACUCUUAUUGUAUACCCCCUCGCGGGUUUUUUUAUAAUCUGAGCCUUCUCGGCGCCUCUCGUAGGCGUUUCGAAAAUGAAUCAAAACUUUCAACAACGGAUCUCUUGGUUCUGGCAUCGAUGAAGAACGCAGCGAAAUGCGAUAAGUAAUGUGAAUUGCAGAAUUCAGUGAAUCAUCGAAUCUUUGAACGCACAUUGCGCCCGCCAGUAUUCUGGCGGGCAUGCCUGUCCGAGCGUCAUUUCAACCCUCGAACCCCUCCGGGGGGUCGGCGUUGGGGAUCGGCCCUGCCUUGGCGGUGGCCGUCUCCGAAAUACAGUGGCGGUCUCGCCGCAGCCUCUCCUGCGCAGUAGUUUGCACACUCGCAUCGGGAGCGCGGCGCGUCCACAGCCGUUAAACACCCAACUUCUGAAAUGUGACCUCGGAUCAGCAGGAGUCCACGCCCCC